rnacentral:sRNA from 1 species
CUGUGCCACUCGUACACUGCGCGUGUAGGCGCGCCCUCCACGUCCACCUGGCGACCGCUCGCUACGCUGCGUCAGCC